rnacentral:rRNA from 1 species
UACAAAAACAUGUCCUUUUGAUUAUAAUUUAAGGUCUAAUCUGCUCAAUGAGAAAUUAAAUUGCCGCAGUAUUUUAACUGUGCAAAGGUAGCAUAAUAAUUAGUUUUUUAAAUGGGAUCUAGAAUGAAUGAUUGGACGAGAAAUUAUCUGUCUCUUAAUAAUUUUUAUUUAAUUUAACUUUUAAGUAAAAAGGCUUAAUUGUUUUUAAAAGACGAGAAGACCCUAUAGAGUUUAAUUAUUAAAAUUUAUAAAAAUUUUUGGAAUUUUAUUUUAUUUUUAAAUAAUUUAAUUGGGGUGAUUGAAAGAUUUAAUUAACUCUUUUUAUUAAAAUCAUUGAUUUAUGACAAAUAAUUCUAUUAUAAUAAGUUUAAUUUAAAUUACCUUAGGGAUAACAGCGUAAUUUUAUUUAAUAGUUCAUAUUGAAAUUAAAGUUUGCGACCUCGAUGUUGGAUUAAAAUUUAUUUUGGGUGUAGAAGCUUAAAAUUUAAGUCUGUUCGACUUUUGAAAUUUUACAUGAUCUGAGUUUAAACCGGUGUAAGCCAGGUUG